ACAGUGGACGCGAGCAUCUGUGGCCAAGUUUUUAAGGGCGCACGGUGGAUGCCUUGGCACCAGGAACCGAUGAAGGACGUGGGAGGCCACGAUAGUCCCCGGGGAGCCGUCAACCAGGCUUUGAUCCGGGGGUUUCCGAAUGGGGAAACCCGGCAGUCGUCAUGGGCUGUCACCCAUGCCUGAACACAUAGGGCAUGUGGAGGGAACGAGGGGAAGUGAAACAUCUCAGUACCCUCAGGAAGAGAAAACAACCGUGAUUCCGGGAGUAGUGGCGAGCGAAACCGGAUGAGGCCAAACCGUAUGCGUGUGAUACCCGGCAGGGGUUGCGCAUGCGGGGUUGUGGGAUCUCUCUUUCACAGUCUGCCGGCUGUGAGGCGAGUCAGAAACCGUUGAUGUAGGCGAAGGACAUGCGAAAGGUCCGGCGUAGAGGGUAAGACCCCCGUAGCUGAAACAUUGACGGCUCGUUUGAGAGACACCCAAGUAGCACGGGGCCCGAGAAAUCCCGUGUGAAUCUGGCGGGACCACCCGCUAAGCCUAAAUAUUCCCUGGUGACCGAUAGCGGAUAGUACCGUGAGGGAAUGGUGAAAAGUACCGCGGGAGCGGAGUGAAAUAGUACCUGAAACCGUGUGCCUACAAGCCGUGGGAGCGUCGCUCAUUGAGUUUACUCAAUGGGUCGUGACUGCGUGCCUUUUGAAGAAUGAGCCUGCGAGUUUGCGGUGCGUUGCGAGGUUAACCCGUGUGGGGAAGCCGUAGCGAAAGCGAGUCCGAACAGGGCGAUUCAGUAGCGCGCUCAAGACCCGAAGCGGAGUGAUCUAGCCAUGGGCAGGUUGAAGCGGAGGUAAGACUUCGUGGAGGACCGAACCCACCAGGGUUGAAAACCUGGGGGAUGACCUGUGGUUAGGGGUGAAAGGCCAAUCAAACUCCGUGAUAGCUGGUUCUCCCCGAAAUGCAUUUAGGUGCAGCGUCGUGUGUUUCUUGCCGGAGGUAGAGCACUGGAUAGGCGAUGGGCCCUACCGGGUUACUGACCUUAGCCAAACUCCGAAUGCCGGUAAGUGAGAGCACGGCAGUGAGACUGUGGGGGAUAAGCUCCAUGGUCGAGAGGGAAACAGCCCAGAGCAUCGACUAAGGCCCCUAAGCGUACGCUAAGUGGGAAAGGAUGUGGAGUCGCAGAGACAACCAGGAGGUUGGCUUAGAAGCAGCCACCCUUGAAAGAGUGCGUAAUAGCUCACUGGUCAAGUGAUUCCGCGCCGACAAUGUAGCGGGGCUCAAGCGUACCGCCGAAGUCGUGUCAUUGCAGCGUAUAGCCCCAACGGGUGUUGUGAUGGGUAGGGGAGCGUCGUGUGCCGGGUGAAGCAGCCGCGGAAGCGAGUUGUGGACGGUUCACGAGUGAGAAUGCAGGCAUGAGUAGCGAUACACACGUGAGAAACGUGUGCGCCGAUUGACUAAGGGUUCCUGGGUCAAGCUGAUCUGCCCAGGGUAAGUCGGGACCUAAGGCGAGGCCGACAGGCGUAGUCGAUGGACAACCGGUUGAUAUUCCGGUACCCGCUUUGAAACGCCCAAUAUCGAAUCCAUUAAUGCUAAGGCCGUGAAGCCGUUCCGGACCCUUCGGGGAAUGGAAAGUGGUGGAGCCGUCGAUCCAAGGUGGUAGUAGGUAAGCGAUGGGGUGACGCAGGAAGGUAGUCCAGCCCGGGCGGUGGUAGUCCCGGGGUAAGGGUGUAGGACGUCACGUAGGCAAAUCCGCGUGACACAUAGUCUGAGACCUGAUGCCGAGCCGAUUGUGGUGAAGUGGAUGAUCCUAUGCUGUCGAGAAAAGCCUCUAGCGAGUUUCAUGGCGGCCCGUACCCUAAACCGACUCAGGUGGUCAGGUAGAGAAUACCGAGGCGUUCGGGUGAACUAUGGUUAAGGAACUCGGCAAAAUGCCCCCGUAACUUCGGGAGAAGGGGGGCCAUCACUGGUGAUCGGAUUUACUCCGUGAGCUGGGGGUGGCCGCAGAGACCAGCGAGAAGCGACUGUUUACUAAAAACACAGGUCCGUGCGAAGCCGUAAGGCGAUGUAUACGGACUGACGCCUGCCCGGUGCUGGAACGUUAAGGGGACCGGUUAGCUCUGUUUCGACAGGGCGAAGCUGAGAACUUAAGCGCCAGUAAACGGCGGUGGUAACUAUAACCAUCCUAAGGUAGCGAAAUUCCUUGUCGGGUAAGUUCCGACCUGCACGAAUGGCGUAACGACUUCUCGACUGUCUCAACCAUAGGCCCGGUGAAAUUGCACUACGAGUAAAGAUGCUCGUUUCGCGCAGCAGGACGGAAAGACCCCGGGACCUUUACUACAGUUUGAUAUUGGUGUUCGGUUCGGCUUGUGUAGGAUAGGUGGGAGACUUUGAAGCAGCCACGCCAGUGGUUGUGGAGUCGCCGUUGAAAUACCACUCUGGUCGUGCUGGAUGUCUAACCUCGGUCCGUGAUCCGGAUCAGGGACAGUGUCUGAUGGGUAGUUUAACUGGGGCGGUUGCCUCCCAAAGGGUAACGGAGGCGCCCAAAGGUUCCCUCAGCCUGGUUGGCAAUCAGGUGUUGAGUGUAAGUGCACAAGGGAGCUUGACUGUGAGACCGACGGGUCGAGCAGGGACGAAAGUCGGGACUAGUGAUCCGGCGGUGGCUUGUGGAAGCGCCGUCGCUCAACGGAUAAAAGGUACCCCGGGGAUAACAGGCUGAUCUUCCCCAAGAGUCCAUAUCGACGGGAUGGUUUGGCACCUCGAUGUCGGCUCGUCGCAUCCUGGGGCUGGAGUCGGUCCCAAGGGUUGGGCUGUUCGCCCAUUAAAGCGGUACGCGAGCUGGGUUUAGAACGUCGUGAGACAGUUCGGUCCCUAUCCGCUGCGCGCGUAGGAAUAUUGAGAAGGGCUGUCCCUAGUACGAGAGGACCGGGACGGACGAACCUCUGGUGUGCCAGUUGUCCUGCCAAGGGCAUGGCUGGUUGGCUACGUUCGGGAGGGAUAACCGCUGAAAGCAUCUAAGCGGGAAGCCUGCUUCGAGAUGAGUAUUCCCACCUCCUUGAGAGGGUAAGGCUCCCAGUAGACGACUGGGUUGAUAGGCCGGAUGUGGAAGCCCAGUAAUGGGUGGAGCUGACCGGUACUAAUAGGCCGAGGGCUUGUCCUCAGUUG
rnacentral:rRNA from 1 species